GUUUUUUUAAACAAGCAUUUUUAUUAAUCUUUGAAAAUGUCAUAUAUUCAUACAAAGUAUUUUGAUUACAUUCACCCAUCUUCAAUUUCUUGGAAAUUUUUAUUCUUUCUUACAUUCAUCUAUCUGGUUCUUUAAAAUGUAUGUGUGGGUAUGUAGGGGGAGCCCUGCACAAUCCCCUGCCCGUGCAUGGAGAUCACAGGGCACAACCUGAGGCAGUUGGCUCUUUUAUUCCACCAUGUGGGCUCAGGGAGAUUGAACACAGGUCCUUGGGCUCAGCAGCAAGAGCCCUUACCCCAUCCCCACUCUAUGUGCCAUCUCACUAGCUCCAAUUCUUAAAAACCCAUGAACAACAGGUCCUGUGUUUUCAUUUGUUUCAGGACUCCCAACCCCUGACCUGUGUUUGAAGGUGACCUUCUUACAAGCAGACCACAAUGGAUGGUGUGUGUGUGUGUGUGUGUGUGUGUGUGUGUGUGUGUGUGUGUGUGUGUGUGUGCAAUUCCAGGAUCAGAUUUAAGAAGUAUUCAGAAACUGUCAUUUUCUGAAGACAGGAUAAUUAUUUCAUUUUAUUACUAUGUCCACCAAGGUCCAGAAAGAGGAAAUUAACUUCCCUCAGGGUCAUGGACAAACGCUGAAGCGGAAGCCAAAUUGGAAGUCCAAAGUGAUGAGUCUGCAAAGCAGUCACCACGGAGGCCACCAGUGAGAUGAGUCUGAACGUCCCUGCAUGCCGAUGUGGAGGAAGCAGAUAAAACAAGAAGACUGUGUGGGUGGUAGGAAGAAUUCAUCAAAAGGGAAAAAACGAUUCUUCAAACAUAGAGCUAUAAGAAUAUUCAUUAUGAAAUGACUUUUAUUCUUCCACUUUAUAGUGAAGUAUCAAAGAGUAUGCAUACCAUGCUGCUCUGGCCUGUCACUUUCCCAGCCUGAACACACUUGCAUGGGUACCCUGAUCAGGAAAGAGCUCAUGACCUGCACUCCAGAGAUGCCCUCUCCUUGUUGUAUUGCAAUUUCCUCUUAGAAUACAGUCCAUCCUGCAGGGAAGCUCCUUAAAACAGAAGAUAAACAACUCAAAGUAGCUUCAGGAAGUUCCUGAAACCCAUCAGAUUCACUAGGCUGCUCCCUCCCAAGAGUAAACAAUAAAGACUUCUGACAGUCACCAAGCUUCCAGCCAAGCUGCCUGGAAGAUGCAGAGCAGGGCCAAGAAGCAGAAAGCAGUGGAGCUGCCUGGAAGAGGCUCAGAUCACCUGAGCCACCUGGAAAGGACACUCUCCAAACUUUUGAGCUGCCUGCAGGCCCUGCAGUGUGCUACAGGUUUCCAGGUCUUGUGAGCUGUUACCUAUGAUGAGUUGUUUCCAGAUCAGUGAUAUGGAAAGCAGGGCUGUAUGAGCAUACUUCUGGUGAACAUCCGUCUACAUUUGGGGGAUGUAGACCUAGAUGUGGAAUGACUGGGACAUGGAAUGCUGGGUUUUAGAACAUGACCAACUUUAGAAGACAUCGCUGAACCAUGUGCCGAACUGAUUAUAGCAGUUUCCACGCCCAGCAGCUCUGUAGUAGUUCUGGUUUCUAUACGUGCUCAUUAACACUCCAUACUGUCCAUUUAAGAACCUGCAGGGUAUGGCACGGCAGAUCUGUUGAUUACAGCAUUUAUUUGGAUGGAAAGACAGGAGAAGCUGGAAUUCAAGGUCACUUUUGACUACAGAGGGAGUUGGAACAUUUAUGAGACACUGUCUCAAGAAAACAAACAAAAUUUUAAGCCUGAAGUGGG
rnacentral:lncRNA from 1 species